rnacentral:lncRNA from 1 species
UAGGAGGGCUGCGUGGAACUCAUCGAUUUGAGGUCGUGGACUUCAGGCCAUCGUACCAUAUGUGACUGGGAAGGCCUUGGAUCCACACGAACAAAGUCGUGCCGUCUGAGCAAAUUGACCACUUCCACACAAGACUAGUUUGUAGUUCGAGGUCUGUCCCCCUUGUCGAUUUAGCAAACCAAUGCCUUAAGCCACUCAGCCAUCCUUCCUACCGUAUGGGUGUACUCAGAUAAGAAGUCAGGGAAGUACAGCUAUACGGAAUACGAUGAGAAGUAGAGCAGGCGAAGCGAAGCGAUAACGGAUCUUACUGUCUGGAGAUCGGGUUACGUCGCUAAGGAAGCUGCAGGAUCCCAUGAAUUCGAAGAUUUCCUGCGGAAGUGGAAUAAGCCGAAAAAUGAUGCCUCUCCCUUCUGUCUUGGCUACCAUGCUCUUGCGCUAGAGCAAUGCGAACAGCUUCUUCUCAAGCAGGGGAUUCAAUAAGAGUGGAUUCUGGGCAUCUGGCAUUUGUCCUGAGAACAGCUAAUGGUGCACUAUCCUUCUCCCAAACAUUUCUCAGCGAAAGCACUGAGUACAACUUAUUAAACGGAAACUACGAACAAGAUCUUAGAGCUGUCUCAAUCACACAGCUCC